GACAGAGGUGCCGAGCGUUAGGCGGAAUCACUGGGCUUAAAGCGUGUGUAGGCGGAUCGUUAAGUACCUUGUGAAAUCCCACGGCUUAACCGUGGAACUGCUGGGUAUACUGGCGAUCUUGAGGUGCUCAGGGGCGAGCGGAACAGAUGGUGGAGCGGUGAAAUGCGUAGAUAUCAUCUGGAACGCCUGCGGUGAAAACGGCUCGCUGGGAGCAAUCUGACGCUGAGGCACGAAGGCCAGGGGAGCAAACGGG
rnacentral:rRNA from 1 species